GUCGACCACACGCCAAGCGGAGCAGCGUCAAGUCAGUAGUCACUGUAAAACACAGCCUUACACACACACACAGAGGGCAUAUCAAUUAUGUCAGCAAGCAGCAGAAGAAAAUAAAAUCAACUAUAGAGCCAUGACUCGAGCUAUAUCCUGGCCUGAUAAACACGACAACGUCACGAGCACAAAGGCUUUCCACAGCUGCUAACUUCCUUCUUUUGAUGCCCGGCAGUCAAAAGCGUACGUCUAGGGUAUAAUGAAUAAUUCACAAUCGACAAGAGGCAAAAACUAGAAGUCUAAGUAAUGUAAACACCACAGACAUCCGUCUGACUGUCUGUCCGCUUGUAUGAAUACUUGAAUCUAAAAAAAUAAAGCUCGUAGAGUUCUCAAAUUUUCUGGAAAUACUUGUAUGAGAUUUAGAUCGCACAUUUUAAAAUUUUAUAAAAGUUUGUUAUGAAACUUCUUGCCUCCCUACAUAAAU